ensembl:lncRNA
AUGGGAAAUUGGCAUGAGAAACUUAACACAACACAGAUGUGCUGACUAACUCUGAAAGAAGGACCGUAGACAGGACGUGUUGCCUGUUACUGAAGGGCCCCACACAUCCUGUCCAUACAUUCUGUCCAUACCUCCUGCUAGGAGUUGCCCAUGUGACUGACAUAGGCUAUAUGGAUAGGUCCAUUGACCAUAGGUUGGAACAUACCAUACUGUUACCAGACUAAGGGUCUGUUGUAGGAUAAACCUUUCUUAUUGGAGGGUAUUGGAAUGUGUAAUGGUUGGUUGUGACCACUGGCCACCUCCUAUGUAUCCUUGCAUAAAACACUGUGUUGCCUCUGUAAUUAUAGAGAGAGAGAGAAAUGAGAAAUGGAAGGAAAACAUCAUAGACUCACGCUGAAUAAAGAUGGCUCUCCCCUGACUUCUGGUUGCAUUUAUUUUGUUCAUGGAUCAAACUUCGACAAAAUCUAACAGCAUGGUGCCGUGAGCCGGACAGAUGGAUUUGCACUCUGAAUGGUGAGUCAAACCACUCUAAAAGAACAAGUCAGUUCAAUCAGCAUGAGUAUCCAGACGAACACAUCUGGAACAAUAAGAACCUAGAAAUGAAAGAAAUAAAUUUUUUAGGCAAUGGAAACCUGUGGUGAGGACAUGCAAGACUUACGUUGACACUGAAAGAAGUGUUCUUAGUCUUAGUCCAGAGAUUCCACAGAAGAAGAUAAAUCUUCGUUAAGUCAUCUAGAAGUCCUUUCUAAAUCUUCCUUGUUGUGAUGGGAAGUACUUACUAGACUGAGUAGUAAGUGACACGUGUAAAGUCCUAAUAUAGGCCACUGUUUAGUGCAAAGCUUCGGUAUUCAUCUAGAAGUAAGGGGAAGAAAAAGACGUCUUUAAACAACGUGGUAAAUACAGGGACUGCAGCCCUCCCGUUGUUAUUUAGAAAAUGGUGAAAUGCUUGACUGUCACCAAGAUAUAAUUAAAAAAUAUGCCAUUGUUCCAGAAGAUUGUUUUAGUUUUUUUGAUAUACAGAAAAUAUGGGAAGAAAUUCAAAGAAUGCCUGAUGAAUUACAAAAAACUCAGUGGUUGUUGAUUGUGUUAUCAGAAAUUGAAAAAUGGAAUGAUAAAUUCCUCAAAGAUAGAAUGAGAAAGAAUGUGUUCGGGCGUCGGCUGAACAAAUGGCUGAACUGGAUAAGUUGGAAAAAGGAACUGGAAACGUUGAAAGCAGGAACAACAUCUAAAGAUACUCAAAGCCCAUUGAAAAAGAAACCAGGAUCAUGUCACUAUUGUGGAAUCAUUGGACAUUGGCAGGAUGAGUGUCGCAAGAAGAAGAAGAACCAAAGGAAAAGGACAGGAUGCACAGACAGUUGGAACAUGAGACAUUCUACCCAGAUUUCGAUCAGCAGCAAGGAAAGAUCUCCCAUGUAUGGAAUUCAGGAAUCAAAGACAGAUGAUUUCCUGGUGAUACCGGGAACUGACGUGUGCUUAUAAUCAUUGAUUAAGAGUUUUAAAUGUGUUUCCAAAAAUGUAUCGUACCUAAAUAUUGAGUAGAGCUGGAACUUAUCAAGGAAAUCUGAUCACUUCCCUUGAUAAUGACCAUGCUUAUUCAAGUGAAUAUUAAUUUGAAAGCACUUUGAUGGUAUAUAGCAUGUUUUAAAAAGCAUUUGAAAUAGCCUGUUUUGUUCUGUCAUGCUUGAACAAGUUUUAAUAGAUAUUCAAGGAAAAGCCUGUUUUGUUGUGCUUUGUCAUGUUCACUAUUUAAAUUAAAACAAACAUAUUUAUUGUUUUGAUGAUAAUGUUUAAAACCGUAGGGCCUCAAGGAGGGUCUCACUACAGGCUUUAACACGUGGGUACAUCUAACCAUAGUGAUAAAUUAGAAAUUGGUACAAUGAUGAUAUUAUAAUCUGGUAAAAUAGUCUCAUGGUUUUCUUACAAAAGGUUAAAAUAUUGUGUGUUCUCUCUCCUUAAUAUUAUAUCAGUGAUAGAUUGAAGAAUCCACAUGUUGAUAAUCUUUAAAGUUAAGAAGGCACGCUGUCUCCCAUGAGGACUGAAUAUGAACAAAGGGUUUCCACCAAGUUAGAAUGUGUGUGUGUUCUCUAUCUCUGCCUUGUCACAGGACAACUGUUGAGAGGGAAACAAUACACAUAGGGUAAUAAUUUUUUGAAGUAGACACAUGGCUUUCCAUGUGGACUGAAUUUGAUUCUAAUGUAUGUUAUACAUUGGUUUUAGACAAAAGAUUGAGAUUAAAGUCUCAAAUUAUGACAAAAAGGGUGAAAACUGCCAAAAGCGAGUUUAUCCCCUACAAUAAAAUGUUAUAUUUUAUUUUGAAUGUUGAAUUGGCUUUGGUUAAUUAGGUACAUUUUAAUUUGUCCGUUUUUUGUGUUUCUCUUACAACUAAGAUGACAUUAGUGUUUUAUAGAACAAAUUAGAUACUAGAAAGUUGACUGACUAAAAUGGUCCCUUGGUUCAGAGAGCAGCACAGGGGGGAUGAGUGCUUGAGCCAACACCCCCACACACCCCCACACCCUGGGAUUGGGUGGUCAUGUCUGUUUUUGGUUUAGUCAUAAUUUUCACCAAUGUUUUAGAAUGUCCACCAGAAUGUUAAGUUAUUGUAUAGAUAUGACAAGCAUAUUUUUACUAACUGCAAACAAAACUAGAGAUGGGUAGGACAGUAAAUCUGAACCUUCACUUAAAAAGGAUAUCGGCUAAGUUGAAAGAAUAACAUAUGUUGCUACAGACAGUCUGAGGACCAUGUACGGAUUUUUAAUAUGUGGAAACCUAAAUUUCAUAUACAUUUUAAAUAAUCCAUUUGACCUUUAUCUAUGGCUAGCCAUGAGUGGGUGAAGCCAAGGACUCCAGGAAGGGGGGCAGUCCCCUAGGAUUACCCCAAACAACCUCUCCCAUUAAAUCAAGGUAGCCUAUCUCUAAAGUUGAGUGUUCAGACUGGUCUCAACUGUGGUAAUUUCCUCAACGUAAGCAAAUUCAGUUUUGGGAUGAUCAAACAUUGAGUAGAGGUUAGAGACAUUUUCUACUCAAUAGCUUUAACAUUGAAAUGUAUGACUUUUGACCAAAAAUCAUCCUCCAUUGUUGAUGACAGAGUCAUUUUAAUGUCAAUAGAACCACAGACGUGGUCAAAUAUAAGUUGUGAUUUAGUCUUUGGCUGACCGCAACUAUUUGGAAUAAAAAAAUAAUCAAAGGUGGAGAAUUUUACUCAAAUGCAGAAGGUUAAUCAAGACAUUGUUUGUCACAAGGUAGUUUGGAAAUGCUAAAUGCUAAAUUUGGGUGUUGUAGAUAUGCUAAUACAAUCGCCCUGGUGGUUGCAGUAGGUAUACCACUGGAACAUGGGCUGGAGUUUUUUCUCCUACAACUUAGUUGCACAGCUUAUCCCCUAGUGUGCAAACCAAUUUAGUUAGGCAUGUGCCGAGAAACUUCAGGAUAUUAUAAAUGCAUGAUAGCCAAUUAAAUAAUUUGAGAGCUGUUUAGCUGUGUCACUGGGUUAUAUGGUUUAUAAUUCCUUCGCACAAGACUGAUGCACAUUGAGGUCUUUGAUUAUGUUAGUGAAUGUUUGUGUUUUUAACAUUUUCACUUUGUUGUUUUUGAUGAAUAUACAGUAUGCAACUCCAUAUUGAAUGGAUUCUAGAUCCGUCCCUGUUACCAGUUCUCUAUUUUUACAUGUCUGUCCCAAAAUGAUGGCCAGUGUGGGCUCAGGAUGGUGCCUCCUGUGGCCAUAUUCGCCAUGAUUCUGCUUUCACUCAUGGUGUCGCUUUCCGUUGACUUAAUGAAGUGAAAGCAGGGGGGAUGUAUGAUAUGAUAACUGAUUAUGAUUGGAAAGAGUUGAGCUUAGGGCUCAAAGCAAAUCAAAUUGGUACUUAAAAGGAGUUACAUGAACAUUUAGUUUGUUUUUUUUUCCCCUUGGGGGGAAGAAAAGUCAGUUGGCCCCUUUAGAUAAAGACAACAGUAAACAUUAUAGCAGGAAGGAUAAGUGGGGGGGACAGCCCUCCCUUUAGGUAAAACCUAUGUGACACAAGACAGAUGGCCAGCAACUUACCACACCCCUUUUUUCCUCUAUAAAUACGAACAGUUCAUGUAUUAAGUUAGAGAC